rnacentral:tRNA from 1 species
GCCGGCCUAGCUCGAUUGGUAGAGCAACUGACUUGUAAUCAGUAGGUUGGGGGUUCAAGUCCUCUGGCCGGCACCA